UCCCAUGGUGCAAUGUUUCUUGAGAGCACAACCCCAUGGUCAACUGAAAACUGUGCACAGACUUGCUCCUACUCCUUCUUGGUAUUCUCUAACUUGCUAUUUUGAUGAGAUCAGUUGUUACUCCUACGUGAGAUUUAUUUUUAAAGAUUUUUCUGGCUUAGCUCUACCUUUUAUCCCUAUUCUUGGUUUUCAGCCAUAAUCUUUGCUGGAGUCUCUUUUAAUUUAUCUACUAGCUUGCUAUGAAAGGGAUCAAUAAGCCACUAACCUUACAAAUACUUGUUAUGUUACUGAUUGAGGAGUAAAUGACUAUUUUUUACUAGGUUCUGCUGAAGGUGAUAAAAGUUCCUAUUAAGAUGCCAGGAACUGAAGGAUUAUUUCCUUCUCUGAAAUUUAAGAUCGGUAUAGAAUAUAAACCCAAGUGAGACUUGAUGUGCCAAGGCAAGUUGUUACUGAGGGGGUAGGUGGUUGGGGGAAUGGGAACAGAAUAUGGAGACCGCCCUUUGCAAAAGAAAAGGGGGUGGGGGAAGGUGGUGGGAGAGUGGGACUGGGAAGUGAUUGAGGUAUAACAGGAAUAAAUAAAUAAAUAAAUGAAAACAUCAACCAAACAAAGACAGCAUUUCAUCUCUUUGUUCUUUGUUAUGAUAGUUUGCACCUUUUGCUAAAUAAAUUAGUUGUAUGUAUUUGGCCAAGUUCACAGGAGCAUGUGAACUGGGAAUGAAAGAUUUGAAAUAGUUUCCUUCAUAUAUAUCUUUUCUUCUGACACUUUUGAAAGAUUUCCAUCAUAAUUUCAGAAUAUGAAAAUAAUAAUUUCUUCUAAGAAGCCUGAAAAUCCUGAGGUACUAUUUCAAGGGUUUUGGAAUCGUUGAGGUUAGAAGUUAUAUUUUGCCUGUAUUUUGAGAAGAUAUGUCAUAAUGCUUCUUAAAAUAUGGAAAUACCAAUUUUGAAAUAUUGAAUGUGGUAAUAGUGUACUAAUUCCUUAGGACAAUGAACUCUCUUAUUUAAAACUUAUUUUUGCAUAUGCACAAACUACUUUUUCUCUUCUGAAUAUAUUGUACUUUAUAUAAAAUAACAGAAGUUAAAUUUGUAGUAUCGAACUAAUAAUUUUAUUCUUCUCCAACAAUCUGUAAUUUUCUCAGUGCAAUAGAGGACAUAUUGCAUUAUUUCCAAUAAUAUUGGGUCUGAUAAAAUCAUAUUUUUACACUACAUAUUGAACACCUCCAAGAUGACUCUAAGGCAAACUGAAACACUCUUAAAGCAUUGUCUAAUUAUGAAUGCUAUAAAAAUCCAUGCAUAACUGCUGAAAAGAUAAGUCAAGGUCUAUUCAUCUGUCUCAAAAUUAUUUUCUAAGAAUAUUCUACCAAUGAGGAUAAGAAUCUGUCCUCUAGACAAAUAGAUCCCAGGCAGGGACCAGCAGCUAUAGUUUAACCCUGAAGAAAAAUGCAAGACUUGGCAACUGUCCUGAAGCGAGGUUGCAAAAGUGGCAAGCUGCCUCAGGAAACUCAGGGGCAGUUCUUGGGUGAGUUUCUUUCUGGCAUCACCACUAGUGGAGAUCACAACAUACAUGUGAGGUGUAGAAUAGUGAGUCUAAGAAUAGCAAGGUGGAGCAAACCAAACCAAUGCUCAAUAUCUGUCUUCCACUGUCUAUGGGGUCAUACUUAUAUUCCACCAUCAUGAUUUCUUUCACGUAUUUGCUUUAGCAUAAUAUCCUUUCAUCACCCGUGUCUGCUUCAGGACAACACACAUUCCCGUGUCUGCUCCAGCAACACAUCCUUUUACCUGUAUGCCCCAGCAAAACAUCAUUUAACAUAGCUGGCUUUUCAAUGAAACUAGAAGUUUCCACUUCACAGCUACUUUCCAAUUGAUUACUGCCAUUCAAACAGGGCAUGCUAAUAUUACAAAUAAUAUUUUCCUUUCAUCUGUGAUUACCUCAAUCUCAAUUAACUUUUAAGAAGCACAUUAGCAAAGUCCUUUCCAUUUUGACUUAGCAGAAUCAACCUGAAGGGAGACUGCUCUUCAUGUCUAUUGUUAUCAUAAAUAAUUGAUUACCGUUAAGUGCCUAUCAAUACAGAAACAGAAAUACUAACAUUGUGAGAUAUAAUAUCUUAUUAUAUUGUAUUGUGCAGCACCUAAUGGUAGAAUAUGAAUAUGAAAACACUUGUGUGCUAAGCUGUUGUGGCAGAGAAAGUAACACAUCAAGUUAAUGAUUUAAAUUUGAAACUUCUUAUAUUUUUUAA
rnacentral:lncRNA from 1 species